AAGCAUAUCAAUAAGCGGAGGAAAAGAAACCAACAGGGAUUGCCCUAGUAACGGCGAGUGAAGCGGCAACAGCUCAAAUUUGAAAUCUGGCUCUUUCAGAGUCCGAGUUGUAAUUUGCAGAGGGCGCUUUGGCGUUGGCAGCGGUCCAAGUUCUUUGGAACAGGACGUCACAGAGGGUGAGAAUCCCGUACGUGGUCGCUAGCCUUCGCCGUGUAAAGCCCCUUCGACGAGUCGAGUUGUUUGGGAAUGCAGCUCUAAAUGGGAGGUAAAUUUCUUCUAAAGCUAAAUACUGGCCAGAGACCGAUAGCGCACAAGUAGAGUGAUCGAAAGAUGAAAAGCACUUUGGAAAGAGAGUCAAAUAGCACGUGAAAUUGUUGAAAGGGAAGCGCUUGCAGCCAGACUUGCCUGUAGUUGCUUAUCCGGACUUUUGUCCGGUGCACUCUUCUGCGGGCAGGCCAGCAUCAGUUUGGGCGGUUGGAUAAAGGUCUCUGUCAUGUACCUCCUUUCGGGGAGGCCUUAUAGGGGAGACGACAUACAACCAGCCUGGACUGAGGUCCGCGCAUCUGCUAGGAUGCUGGCGUAAUGGCUGUAAGCGGCCCGUCUUGAAACACGGACCAAGGAGUCUAACAUCUAUGCGAGUGUUUGGGUGUCAAGCCCAGACGCGUAAUGAAAGUGAACGGAGGUGGGAACCUUUUAGGUGCACCAUCGACCGAUCCUGAUGUCUUCGGAAGGAUUUGAGUAAGAGCAUGGCUGUUGGGACCCGAAAGAUGGUGAACUAUGCUUGAAUAGGGUGAAGCCAGAGGAAACUCUGGUGGAGGCUCGCAGCGGUUCUGACGUGCAAAUCGAUCGUCAAAUUUGGGCAUAGGGGCGAAAGACUAAUCGAACUAUCUAGUAGCUGGUUCCUGCCGA
rnacentral:rRNA from 1 species